CGGCGGACGGGUGAGUAACGCGUGGGUAACCUGCCUCAUACAGGGGGAUAACAGUUAGAAAUGACUGCUAAUACCGCAUAAGACCACGGUACCGCAUGGUACAGUGGUAAAAACUCCGGUGGUAUGAGAUGGACCCGCGUCUGAUUAGGUAGUUGGUGGGGUAACGGCCUACCAAGCCGACGAUCAGUAGCCGACCUGAGAAGGUGACCGGCCACAUUGGGACUGAGACACGGCCCAG
rnacentral:rRNA from 1 species